UUAUUCUUCCAGUUGAGAAAAAUAAACAGGUAUUCAGAGAAAAUGAGAUUAAAACCUACAGUGGGAGUUCCGGCUCAACCAGUCAGCAUUUUCUGAGUCACUGGACUGACGAGGCAAGGCAAGCUUAUAAAAUAGAUUGGCACUGCUGUUUGGAUCCAGGCCAUUCUGCUAAUGAGCAUCGCUGGGGUCCGCACUGGUGUGACACCAGAAGAAACAGCGAUCACAGCACACCCUCUUGAAACAAUUCCCUUCUGAAUUUCUUGCAGG
rnacentral:lncRNA from 1 species